AAAAACAAGAAGUUAAUAUAAAAGAAAAAAACCGACAAAUAAUAUUAUAAAUAAAAUAAAUUUAUAAGACACAAUCCGCGCGAAGCGCGGAAAAAAUCUCUAGUUAGACUAAUAUCACUUAAUAAUUGUCUCAUUAGAUUAAUAAUUUUCAAAAUGCCAAUAAUGUCCUUAAAAAUUCAAUUAUAAAUUCGAAAUUAAAAUAGUAAAAUAAUUAUAAUAUAUUUACAUAUAUUAUAAUAAAAACCUCAUUAUAAUUAAAAUAAACAACAAAAAAAAACAAAAAAAAAACCCCAAAUCAGUUUUCCUAAACCUAAUCCCCCGACGCCAAUCGUUUCACGCCUCUCUCUCUCGACACAGCAUCUCUCUCGGGUCUGACCUCGGGUCUUUUCCGGCGCGAUGAUCUCUUCUUCUCCGGCUCAAAUAUCUUCUUCUCCGACUAUACUCCGCCGUGAAGCUCUUCAUCUCCGGUCUAAUAUCUCCUCUUCUCCUCUCUAAAUCGAAGAAGCAACAUUGGUAAAAGGAUUCAAUAGAGGUAUAGGUACAUUCUAAGCGCUGUUGGCUAUGAAAUUUUCUUGCAUUUAUGGUAGCACCCGAGACAAGACAGGCUUUCCGUCAGAAACUUCAAAGAGUUGGAAACAAAGGAGCCAAAGUCUUUAGGUUGUUUGGAGAAAAAGUGGAGCCAAAGUCUUAGUGAUAGCACGCUUUCAUCAUAAUUCAUAAUUUAGUACAUGUCAAUAUGUCAUAUGCUUGUAACGUUGAUUUAUGUAAACCAUCAUUUGUAUUUAUAAACGAAGGAGCCAAAGUCUCGGCUUUUAUCUCUUACAUUUCACAAUUCUUUCUUAUUAUCUCAGACUUUAGAUUU